rfam:Ictidomys tridecemlineatus contig089355, whole genome shotgun sequence.
UGGGCUGUGGCUCAGUGAGAGAGCACUUGCCUGGCAUGUGUGAGGCCCUGGGUUCGAUUCUCAGCACCACAU